rnacentral:rRNA from 1 species
CAGUCGCCACGGUAAUACGUAGGUGGCAAGCGUUGUCCGGAAUUAUUGGGCGUAAAGGGCUCGCAGGCGGUUUCUUAAGUCUGAUGUGAAAGCCCCCGGCUCAACCGGGGAGGGUCAUUGGAAACUGGGAAACUUGAGUGCAGAAGAGGAGAGUGGAAUUCCACGUGUAGCGGUGAAAUGCGUAGAGAUGUGGAGGAGCACCAGUGGCGAAGGCGACUCUCUGGUCUGUAACUGACGCUGAGGAGCGAAAGCGUGGGGAGCGAACAGGAUUAGAUACCCCAGUAGUCCCUGUCUCUUAUAA